UUUUUAAUGGUUGACCUCGGAUCAGGUAGGAAUACCCGCUGAACUUAAGCAUAUCAAUAAGCGGGAGGAAAA
rnacentral:rRNA from 1 species